AUGGGAGUCUGGUCGAUCAAAAGAAAGACAGGGGGCGAUCCCCAUGCUCCAAACCCUAGAAAACUCACAAAAACUCUCAAUUGGAGGUGCAAAUCUGGUCCAAAACGAAAUCCGAGCUUAGAAUCGUGAUCCUCAUCGCAAGGGGGUUGUAAGUUUGACUUUUGACAAGCUAGAUGGAGGCUUGGAAGGAAGCGGGUCAAACGAAGCAAAUAAGAAGUAAAAGCAUGUUUCAGAAGCAAGGAGCGAAUAGUAAUUUGGAUAAUUGCGUCGCCACAGAAUAUCGGUAAUAAAAGCAAGGUGUUGAAACGGGUCACUAGGUUGGCUCGAGCCAGGUGAAUGUCGAGGGUCCCGGAUGAAGAUCGAGCAUCGAGCAAGAACCGAACACACAUUAAAUAAAGCUUCCGCAACGUUGUUUUGUCGUUAUUCUAAACGGCGAUUUAAAUCACAUUAUGUAUAUCACUUAAAUUGUAAAAGUUUUAAACAAACCUGUAUUUCCGAUAUAUAUAUAAUCAUUAAUUACAUGAUUAUUUUCGCAAAA